AUGUCCUACGGAUUGUAAACUUCUUUUAUAGAGGAAGAAACCUUUCUACGUGUAGAAAGCUGACGGUACUCUACGAAUAAGGACCGGCUAACUCCGUGCCAGCAGCCGCGGUAAUACGGAGGGUCCAAGCGUUAUCCGGAUUUAUUGGGUUUAAAGGGUCCGUAGGCGGGGUUUUAAGUCAGUGGUGAAAGCCUACAGCUCAACUGUAGAACUGCCAUUGAAACUGGAACUCUUGAAUGUGAUUGAAGUGGGCGGAAUAUGUCAUGUAGCGGUGAAGUGCUUAGAUAUGACAUAGAACACCGAUAGCGAAGGCAGCUCACUAAGUCAUGAUUGACGCUGAUGGACGAAAGCGUGGGGAGCGAACAGGAUUAGAUACCCUGGUAGUCCACGCCGUAAACGAUGAUCACUAGCUAUUGGCGAUACACAGUCAGUGGCACAGCGAAAGUGUUAAGUGAUCCACCUGGGGAGUACGAUCGCAAGGUUG
rnacentral:rRNA from 1 species